AGUGAACGCUGGCGGCGUGCCUAAUACAUGCAAGUCGAACGGAGUGGCGCACGGGUGGGUAAUGUAUAGAUAAUCUGCCCUCCACUAGAGGACAACAGUUGGAAACGACUGCUAAUACUCUAUAGUGUAGGAUGAGGCUGUAUUGUAUCAGCUAGUUGGUGAGGUAAUGGCGCACCAAGGCUAUGACGCAUAACUGGUCGGAGAGGAUGAUCAGUCACACUGGAACGGAGACACGGUCCGGACUCCUACGGGAGUCAGCAGUAGGGAAUAUUGCCCAAUGGGCGAAACCCUGAAGCAGCAACGCCGCGUGGAGGAUGACACUUUGCGGAGCGUAAACUCCUUUUGUUAGGGAAGCGGUACCUAACGAAUAAGCACCGGCUAACUCCGUGCCAGCAGCCGCGGUAAUUC
rnacentral:rRNA from 1 species